AAGUUGUCGACUAGUCAUCCCGUCCUGUUUUACAUUGUUCGAGAUUUUUGGAAUUCAAAUUACGAACUUGGGGAUUGUCAGCUAAGCCUAUCACACAAUCGACUGUCUUCGAUAUUUAUAAGUUGAAUUUUUGGAACAAUGGCGUAUAGGCUGGACUAUGUUUUGGAAUUUUGUAAUUUGGUCUAUGUAUAAUUAGAGCCAUGCAAAAAUGGCUUAAUUAUUAUGCUUGACUUCGGUUUUGGUUAAAUUAUGGUGUGAGCUCAUUUUUAUUAUCAUGCUAUAUGUCAUGGAUGGGAGGCAUUUA